rnacentral:rRNA from 1 species
GCCCGCUCAGAAACUUAAAGGAAUUGACGGGGCCCGCACAAGCGGUGGAGCAUGUGGUUUAAUUCGAUGAUACGCGAGGAACCUUACCUGGGCUCGAACGUAAGAUGACUGUAGGUGAAAGCUUACAUCUCUUCGGAGCAUUUUACGAGGUGCUGCAUGGUUGUCGUCAGCUCGUGCCGUGAGGUGUCGGGUUAAGUCCCAUAACGAGCGCAACCCCUACCUUUAGUUGCCAUCAGGUUAAGCUGGGGACUCUAAAGGAACUGCCUACGCAAGUAGUGAGGAAGGCGGGGAUGACGUCAAAUCAGCACGGCCCUUACGUCCAGGGCUACACACGUGCUACAAUGGCCGAUACAGAGGGCAGCUACCUGGUGACAGGAUGCAAAUCUCCAAAGUCGGUCUCAGUUCGGAUCGGAGUCUGCAACCCGACUCCGUGAAGUUGGAUUCGCUAGUAAUCGCGCAUCAGCCAUGGCGCGGUGAAUACGUUCCCGGGCCUU